GGAGAAUCAGGGUUCGACUCCGGAGAGCGGGCCUGCGAGACGGCCAGCACAUCCAAGGACGGCAGCAGGCGCGGAACUUGCCCAAUGCGCUGCGCGCGAGGCAGCGACGGGGAGCGCGCGAGCGAGGCGGGCCGACAGCCCCCGCCGCGGAGCCGAGGGCAAGGUCUGGUGCCAGCAGCUGCGGUAAUUCCAGCUCGGCGAGCGUCGGGCGGCGCUGCUGCAGUUGAAACGCCCGUAGUUGGCCCCCCGCCGCCACGAGGAAACGGGAGCGCUCCAGGCAGGCCCGUUGGACCCGCCGCGUGGGACCGCGCAGCGGGCGAGGCGCGCCGCGGCAGCCCCGAGGAGAG
rnacentral:rRNA from 1 species